AGCGAACGCUGGCGGCAGGCCUAACACAUGCAAGUCGAACGAAGUCUUCGGACUUAGUGGCGGACGGGUGAGUAACACGUGGGAGCGUGCCUUUAGGUUCGGAAUAACUCAGGGAAACUUGUGCUAAUACCGAAUGUGCCCUUCGGGGGAAAGAUUUAUCGCCUUUAGAGCGGCCCGCGUCUGAUUAGCUAGUUGGUGAGGUAAAGGCUCACCAAGGCUACGAUCAGUAGCUGGUCUGAGAGGAUGACCAGCCACAGUGGGACUGAGACACGGCCCGAACUCCUACGGGAAGCAGCAGGGGGGAAUCUUGCGCAAUGGGCGAAAGCCUGACGCAGCCAUGCCGCGUGGAUGAUGAAGGUCUUAGGAUUGUAAAAUCCUUUCACCGGUGAAGAUAAUGACUGUAGCCGGAGAAGAAGCCCCGGCUAACUUCGUGCCAGCCGCCGCGGUAACAC
rnacentral:rRNA from 1 species